UUUUUUUUUUUUGGUGCUGUCUGUUCCAUUGACGUUGCCUUGCAUUUUGCAGUGCUACAAACCCUGGAAGGUUGGGGGGCAGUUUCAUGCUAGAAGAUGAGGUUACUAUGAGAGAAAGAAAGCUGUGCAAAGCAAGUUCCUGCAGCGAUAUCUCUGCAUGGCUACUAAUAUAUUAUAGGGAAAAUGUGGAGAGGGGUUAAACGAAAAAUGAUCAGUAGAAGCUGCAAAGUAUAGAUGAAGGUGAGAAGGUGGCCCCAACAAGGCACAACCUGAGUAAAUGUGGGUGGGUGGUUUCCACUAUACUCACACAGUUAACACUUGCUAAACCAUACUAGUAAGAGAUGAUGAAGAGUAUCUGGUUCUGCCGGUUAUCCAAGUUAGCUGAUUGUGUGGGUUAUAUGAUAUUGGAAAUAUAUACUGUAUACAAUGAAUGUGAUAAUCUAAUAACAUUACAGAAAGCACUGAGAAUAAAUGUUAACACUGCACUAUGUAAAAACUAAGGUGAUAACUUAUCCAACUCAUAGAAAUAUGUGUGUGACUGAACUGGAAUUGCAUCAACGUUGGAUGGGUCGAGAUCAUCAGCAAGGUUAAGGUAAAAUGACUAAUGAAUUUCAGUUGUUUACUUACUAAUACUAAUUUCAAAUAAUGAAUCCCUUUAAGUCUCUAAGAUGCUGAUCAUGUUCUUGAACAUCAGUUUCUUUUGAUAAUUCAUUGUACAAAAUGUUAUCCAGGGAUUCUUGUAUAACAGAAAAAGUUUAUUUCUUGGGCAGUAUCAAAUUAUUAGUUCCUUUUGAAAAGAUGCUUAACCCUUUCGUUACUGUAUUUAUUUUGAGAU